rnacentral:rRNA from 1 species
CCUACGGGGGGCAGCAGUGGGGAAUAUUGGGCAAUGGGCGAAAGCCUGACCCAGCGACGCCGCGUGAAGGAAGAAGGUCUUCGGAUUGUAAACUUCAGUAGGCAGGGACGAAGGAAGUGACGGUACCUGCAGAGUAAGCCACGGCCAACUACGUGCCAGCAGCCGCGGUAAUACGUAGGUGGCGAGCGUUAUCCGGAUUUACUGGGUGUAAAGGGUGUGUAGGCGGGGCUGCAAGUCUGGUGUGAAAUUUAACGGCUUAACCGUUAAUGUGCAUUAGAAACUGCGGCUCUUGAGGGCCGGAGGGGUAAACGGAAUUCCCGGUGUAGCGGUAAAAUGCGUAGAUAUCGGGAGGAACACCAGUGGCGAAGGCGGUUUACUGGACGGCAACUGACGCUGAGACACGAAAGCGUGGGGAGCAAACAGGCUUAGAUACCCGUGUAGUC